GAUGAACGCUGGCGGCGUGCUUAACACAUGCAAGUCGAACGGAAAGGCCACAGCUUGCUGUGGUACUCGAGUGGCGAACGGGUGAGUAACACGUGGGUGAUCUGCCCUGUACUUCGGGAUAAGCUUGGGAAACUGGGUCUAAUACCGGAUAGGAAUCACAUGUGGGUGUGUGGUUGGAAAGCUUUUGCGGUAUGGGAUGAGCUCGCGGCCUAUCAGCUUGUUGGUGGGGUAAUGGCCUACCAAGGCGUCGACGGGUAGCCGGCCUGAGAGGGUGUACGGCCACAUUGGGACUGAGAUACGGCCCAGACUCCUACGGGAGGCAGCAGUGGGGAAUAUUGCACAAUGGGCGCAAGCCUGAUGCAGCGACGCCGCGUGGGGGAUGACGGCCUUCGGGUUGUAAACUCCUUUCGUCAGGGACGAAGCGAAAGUGACGGUACCUGGAUAAGAAUCACCGGCUAACUACGUG
rnacentral:rRNA from 1 species